CCUGAUAGUAAGUACUAUAGCACUGUGUGCGAGGCUACAACUCGCCGCUUACUCUCAGCCAUACUACC
rnacentral:tRNA from 1 species